rnacentral:misc_RNA from 1 species
AAGUCGUAACAAGGUCUCCGUUGGUGAACCAGCGGAGGGAUCAUUAGAGAGUGCCCUACUCCCAAAACCCAUGUGAACUUACCUGUACGUUGCCUCGGCGGGGGAGGGGCUGGCCACCCCCCCUCCGCCAGGCGGCCCACCAAACCCUGUUUAGCCCUGAAUCUCUGAGACGAUAAAACAAUGAGUUAAAACUUUCAACAACGGAUCUCUUGGCUCUG